ensembl:lncRNA
GUUACUGUCUAAAUGUAAUCCAACCAGGGUAGGUUAGGUUACUGUCUAAAUGUAAUCCAACCAGGGUAGGUUACUGUCUAAAUGUAAUCCAACCAGGGUUGGUUACUGUCUAAAUGUAAUCCAUCCAGGGUAGGGUAGGUUACUGUCUAAAUGUAAUCCAACCAGGGUAGGUUACUGUCUAAAUGUAAUCCAUCCAGGGUUGGUUACUGUCUAAAUGUAAUCCAACCAGGGUAGGUUACUGUCUAAAUGUAAUCCAUCCAGGGUUGGUUACUGUCUAAAUGUAAUCCAACCAGGUUAGGUUACUGUCUAAAUGUAAUCUAUUACAGUUACUAGUUACCAAGCAACAUAGUAAUCUGUAAUGUAAUCUGAUUACAUUCAGUUACUUUUAGAUUACUUUUCCCCUUAAGAGGUAUUAGAAGAAGACAAACAUGUAUGUUACCAAUUGAACGACAUCUAUUGCAGGAUAAAUCCAUGUUGAAGUUUACACAACUGGUCAUAUAUGGAUGUUAAAUUAUGGGUUGGUUAUGUAGGCUUCUUCUAAACCAUCGCUUUCUGUUACAUAUAACAACAUGAUUAAAUUAGAUCUUUGUUUUUUUUAAUACAACGUCUAUCAGAAUUCCAGUCAUUUAAAAAAAAACACAUGUAUACCCCUUAAUCUUCAAGAAUAGGACUUGGAAAUAUGAAAGUAUAGAUUAACCAAAUUGUUUUACCUGAGCAGGACCCUAAAACAACUGACUUUUGUUUUUUGAAACCUAAGGAUUUUUUAGCCAACUCUACUCUGUUAUUUAUGAUGUUGUUGUCAUGGAGACUGAUUGGGCAUUGAGCAGCUCGCUGUCCACUGGUUUCAAAAACAAUGAUUGGUAGGCAGAUUAAAAAGGGUAUUGAAUUCAAAUCAUUAUUGGGUUCAAAUACACGUUUAGAUUUGUGAACAGCCGUCCACAACAACCACAAUCCGUAAAGAGUAAAUAUCUAAAUGAGAGAGCAGCAGUGUGAUUCACAUCAAUGCUCUAUGUAGAUAUCAAUAAUAAGUGAUAUCCGUAUCGUCGAUACACACUGCUGUCAUCCUCACCUCCAAGCGUUUAUUCAAGUUGGAUCAUGUUUGGAUGCCGACAGCAGUUGCACCAUUGUGGAAGACACAGCUUGGACUGUAGCCUAGAAAAAUCAUAUUUCUGCUCUUUCCCCCCGAUCCAUGAAAACUCAUUUGGUGUGUCAUCAUUAGUGGUCUCUGAUUGGUGGCAAUCAUUUGGUGUGUCAUCAUUAGUGGUCUCUGAUUGGUGACAAUCAUUUGGUGUGUCAUCAUUAGUGGUCUCUGAUUGGUGGCAAUCAUUUGGUGUGUCAUCAUUAGUGGUCUCUGAUUGGUGACAAUCAUUUGGUGUGUCAUCAUUAGUGGUCUCUGAUUGGUGGCAAUCAUUUGGUGUGUCAUCAUUAGUGGUCUCUGAUUGGAGGUCAUCAUUAGUGGUCUCUGAUUGGAGGUCAUCAUUUGGUGUGUCAUCAUUAGUGGUCUCUGAUUGGCGGUCAUCAUUUGGUGUGUCAUCAUUAGUGGUCUCUGAUUGGUGUGUCAUCAUUAGUGGUCUCUGAUUGGCGGUCAUCAUUUGGCGUGUCAUCAUUAGUGGUCUCUGAUUGGUGGUCAGACUCACUCAGGUGGAACAAAUUUAAACAUUGUGCCUUUUUUUUCUCCAAUGCUGAUUUGACGGUCAUUGAGAAAACAGAGAAGUGUCCACAAACAUUUUUUCCCCACAAACCUCCUUUCUGAAUUUAAAACUAAUCCUUGAAAGUAAUCAUCUAGUUUUUCAAAGAGUAUUUGUAAUCUGACUACAAUAUGUUUGCUGGUAAAGUAACGGAUUUACAAUGUAAUCUGUUACUCCCCAACCCUGGGGGGCAACUGGCAAGGAACAACUCCCUGGAGGGAAGACACCUUAAUAAAACAAACUAGAAAAGACGAGACAAAUUGAACUUCAGAGUAUAUGACCCUCACUUGAGUAAGGAACCGAAGCCAAAUAACUAAUUUUAAAAAUAGUGGUAUAAUGUUAGCCUAUUUGGAGAAAGGUGUUGUGUCUGUGCAACGGAGCACGUUGUUGGAAAAGAAAACCGAGAUUAUUACGUAACUGUGUGUAAAAGUACUGUAAUGAAACAGGCAGGGGAGCGGGACUUGAACCCUCAACCUUCUAAACCCGAAGUCCAACGUGUUAUCGACCGUGCCCCCGAAAGUAUGCUCAAGUGGCAGAGUCGAUAUCCGCGUUUAUAAACCCAGGGUCGUUACACUGCUAAACUCUGCACAACAACUUUCACAAUGAAGUCAGACAUCGAGGCAUUAAUCCAGAAUGUCGGAAACCAGUUUAAUGCAGGAUGUUUUUUAAAUGCCGUUCUGAUUUAGGGUGCGUUCGUAAAUUCACUCUGGCUAUCUACUCCGUUUUCAGGGCGUGCGUCUUGAUUGUGGCAGAGCACAGAAACACUGGAUGAAUUUACGAACCAAUCAACACCCGUUAAAUAUGGCCGGUGUCAGUAAACAGACGGACGAAAAAAAAGAAGCGUAAUUUAAAUGGUUUUCCAGUAGCACAGUUACAGUCCAGCGACACUCUGGAUAACAUGAAAACAUCGUAACCAGCUCUGCUUGGUUGAGUAAAAAUGUGUCAGAUUGGAGGUGUUCUCUCAUUUGAAGUAGCUAUCAAAUUAACAUUAGUCAAGCACCGAAGUUAGGGUCAGAAAGCUGAAUUUUCGAACGCACCCUUGGUUGGAUUAUUCUACUCGACUAAAGUGAAUCAGAGAGAGAGAGAGAGAGAUGUCAAUCUCAACAAAUAUGAGCGCCCAAAGGUUUCAGUUCACAGUUAUAACGUUAUUAUAAUUUAUUAAUAAUUACAUAGCUAUUUAGUAGUAAAACACUUACCACUGCGGAGACAACUACCCGAUCUCAAGGAUAAAAUUCAAUUCGCAAAAAAAUCACUUCCGUUAUCGGUAUAAUCAGAUGUCUUCCUUGUUACUGAUGCGAUGUAAAUUGAUCACUGAAAUAUUGUUGCUUUGGGGGUGAGGAAGGGGUCGCUUGUCGAUAGUUGCUGUACUUAAACCCGUUAGUUACAAAUGAGAGCUCAGUAAUGUUGCAUUUUAUGCUGAGUUUCCACUAGAUGCCACAGUCACAAAGUCAAAAUUGGCUAUAUUGUAUAAAUUCAUACAAAAAUGAGAUGUUUGCUCUUAAUUUAGGGUUAGGUAUAAGGUUAGCAUUAUGGUUAAUGUUUAAAAUAACAUUUUAAUUAAGAGAAAUUGACGAAAUAGGCGGCAUUUUUUUUAUAACGUUGUGUCUGUGGUAACUAGUGGUGACCCUUGUACAAAUUGGGCGAAGUAAAGUCUUCCGGGGUUCUGCGUCGCGUACAGCCAACCAGCGAGUGAGACGUCAUUAAUGGUUAGAUCGGCAUUUGGGGCAGGGUUCAAAAAGAUUAACAAUACAGCGUUGUCAUGGUGAGCUCAGCUGGAAUGAAUUUGUUUCUGUCCCAGAUAGCCUCCUAUAUAGGGCUCUGGUCCAAACUAGUGCACUAUGUAGGAAUCAGGGUGCCAUUUGGGAUCAUCACAGUAUCACUGAAAUGUGCUUUUAAAUGUCUUUGCCAAAUAGGACAUGAAUGAUUAGGUUGGAUUUGAGAAGAGGACAGAGAGUUGUUAACCUUGUUCACACAAUACCUUUAUCUAUUGACACCCUGGGAGUCAGACAGACAGACAGGGAGUCAGACAGACACACAGGGAGUCAGGUAGACACAGACAGACUGGGAGUCAGACAGACACACAGGGAGUCAGGUAGACACAGACAGACUGGGAGUCAGACAGACACACAGGGAGUCAGGUAGACACAGACAGACUGGGAGUCAGACAGACACACAGACAGACUUGGAGUCAGACAGACAGACUGGGAGUCAGACAGACACACAGGGAGUCAGGUAGACACACAGACAGACUUGGAGUCAGACAGACAGACUGGGAGUCAGACAGACACACAGGGAGUCAGGUAGACACACAGACAGACUUGGAGUCAGACAGACAGACUGGGAGUCAGACAGACACACAGACAGACUUGGAGUCAGAAGGACAGACUGGGAGUCAGUCAGGAAGUCAGACAGACAGACUUGGAGUCAGUCAGGAAGUCAGACAGACAGACUGGGAGUCAGACAGGAAGUCAGACAGACAGACAGGAAGUCAGACAGCGGACCAGGAAGCUGUGGUAUUACAGUUUAUUUGUUGUUUUGGAAGGUAAAGUGCAUAGUUGAAGCCCUUCCUCUCUGUUAGACCUGUUCCCUGUAUAGUGGUACUACUAUAGACCCUGUUCCCUAUAUAGUGGUACUACUAUAGACCCUGUUCCCUAUAUAGUGGUACUACUAUAGACCCUAUUCCCUAUAUAGUGGUACUACUAUAGACCCUGUUCCCUAUAUAGUGGUACUAUUAUAGACCCUGUUCCCUAUAUAGUGGUACUACUAUAGACCAGAGACCUGUUCCCUAUAUAGUGGUACUACUAUAGACCAGAGCCUAUUCCCUAUAUAGUACACUACUAUAGACCAGAGCCCUAUUCCCUAUAUAGUACACUACUAUAGACCAGAGACCUGUUCCCUAUAUAGUACACUACUAUAGACCAGAGCCCUAUUCCCUAAAUAGUACACUACUAUAGACCAGAGUCCUAUUCCCUAUAUAGUACACUACUAUAGAUCAGAGCCCUAUUCCCUAUAUAGUGGUACUACUUUAGACCAGAGCCCUAUUCCCUAUAUAGUGGUACUACUAUAGACCAGAGCCCUAUUCCCUAUAUAGUGGUACUACUAUAGACCAGAGCCCUAUUCCCUAUAUAGUGGUACUACUAUAGACCCUAUUCCCUAUAUAGUGGUACUACUAUAGACCCUAUUCCCUAUAUAGUGGUACUACUUUAGACCAGAGCCCUAUUCCCUAUAUAGUGGUACUACUAUAGACCAGAGCCCUAUUCCCUAUAUAGUGGUACUACUAUAGACCAGAGCCCUAUUCCCUAUAUAGUGGUACUACUUUAGACCAGAGUCCCAUUCCCUAUAUAGUGAACUACUAGUCCUGGUCAAAGUAGUGAACUAUAUCCAGGGGCUCCCGAGCGACGCGGCGGUCUAAGGCACGUGAGGCGUCACUACAGACACCCCGGUUCGAAUCCAGGCUGUAUGGCAACCGGCCGUGAUUGGGAGUCCCACCGGGCGGCGAACAAUUGGCCCGGCGUCGUCCCGGUUUGGCCGGUGUAGACCGUUGUUGUAAAUAAUCAUGUAUUCUUAACUGAUUUACCAAGUUAAAUAAAAGUUACAUUAAAAUAAACUGUAUAUAGGGAAUAGGGUGCCUAAGUAGUGCACUAUACUGUACAUAGGGAAUAGGGUGCCUAAGUAGUGCACUAUACUGUACAUAGGGAAUAGGGUGCCUAAGUAGUGCACUAUACUGUACAUAGGGAAUAGAGUGCCUAAGUAGUGCACUAUACUGUAUAUAGGGAAUAGGGUGCCUAAGUAGUGCACUAUACUGUAUAUAGGGAAUAGGGUGCCUAAGUAGUGCACUAUACUG